CAGCUGCAGAGCCGAGAAUGGGAGAAGAGUGGAGUAUUUGAGUAGCACACCGGCCUCCUCACCUCUCUCUGCGCCUCGCUCUCACGGCCUGCAUGCCUGCCCACCCGCCCGCCUGUUCGCCGCCCAGAACACCUUCCACCAUGGCCACCUCAGCAAGUUCCCACUUAAACAAAGGCAUCAAGAAAGUGUAUAUGUCCCUGCCUCAGGGGGAGAAAGUCCAAGCCAGGUAUAUCUGGAUCGAUGGGACUGGAGAAGGACUGCGCUGCAAGACCCGCAUCCUGGACUGUGAGCCCAAGUGUGUGGAAGAGUUGCCCAAGUGGAAUUUUGAUGGCUCUAGUACUUUACAGUCUGAAGGCUCCAACAGCAACAUGUAUCUCGUGCCUGCUGCCAUGUUUUGGGACCCCUUCCGCAAGGACCCCAACAAGCUGGUGUUGUGUGAAGUUUUCAAGUAUAAUCGAAAGCCCGCAGAGACCAAUUUGAGGCACACCUGUAAACGGAUAAUGGACAUGGUGAGCAACCAGCAUCCUUGGUUUGGAAUGGAGCAGGAAUAUACUCUCAUGGGGACAGAUGGGCACCCCUUUGGCUGGCCUUCCAAUGGCUUCCCUGCGCCCCAGGGUCCAUAUUACUGUGGUGUGGGAGCAGACAGAGCCUACGCAGGGAUAUCGUGGAGGCUCAUUACCGAGCCUGCUUGUAUGCUGGAGUCAAGAUCGCGGGGACUAAUGCCGAGGCCAUGCCUGCCCAGUGGGAAUUCCAGAUUGGACCCUGUGAAGGAAUCACCAUGGGAGAUCAUCUCUGGGUGGCUCGUUUCAUCUUGCAUCGUGUGUGUGACGACUUUGGAGUGAUAGCAACCUUCGAUGCUAAGCCCAUUCCUGGGAACUGGAAUGGUGCAGGCUGCCACACCAACUUCAGCACCAAGGCCAUGCGGGAGGGGAAUGGUCUGAAGAACAUUGAGGAGGCCAUCGAGAAACUAAGCAAGCGGCACCAGUACCACAUCCGCGCCUAUGAUCCCAAGGGGGGCCUGGACAAUGCCCGGUGCCUAACUGGAUUCCACGAAACCUCCAACAUCAACGACUUUUCUGCUGGCGUAGCCAACCGUAGCUCCAGCAUCUGCAUUCCCCGGUCUGUCGGCCAGGAGAAGAAGGGCUACUUUGAAGACCGUCGUCCCUCUGCCAACUGCGACCCGUUUUCGGUGACAGAAGCCCUCAUCCGCACAGGUCUUCUCAAUGAAACUGGCGAUGAGCCCUUCCAGUACAAAAACUAAGUGGACUAGACUUGCAGCUGUUGAGCCCCCCCUGGUUCUCCAUCCCACUCCAAAUCUUCCCCCUCUCCCUGUUGCCCCAAUUGUAACUCAAAGGGUGGAAUAUCAAGGUCUUUUUUUAUUC